GUCACCCAAACAUCUUGUUAAAAUGCAGAUUCUGAGUAGGGCCUGAGAUAGCUGGGUAGGGCCCGAGAUUCUGCAUUUCUAACAAGCACUCAGGUGAAGUCAA
rnacentral:pre_miRNA from 1 species